CUCGCGCAUGACAGGUGUUCGACUCGAGUCUCCGUCCUCCUCUCUGGAUCGGGCAGGGACUCGGUCGUUCUGAGAUUAUACUGUCAUAACUUGAUCUAGAUAAUACUAGCGAAAGGACAUGCGUGGCAUUGAUU
rnacentral:ncRNA from 1 species